AGGCGGGGAGAAGGAAAUAGGGCCCUCCCCGGCUAGAACACGAGCGGCCACGGCCCCCGCCCUUCUCGUUUUCUGGAAUCUUCCGCAUGCCGGGGCGCGCGGCCGGAUGGGAGGGGAGGAGAGAGGAAGGGGGGGCGGCGGCCACGCGCUCGGCAGCGGCGGCGCCACGAGGAAGGCGCGCGGCCGCCGCUCUUUCCACCAGCAGCCGGGAGAGGGCCACCGCCGUGGGCACCGCGGCCGGCGGAUCCUACCGGCCAGUCCCGACCCCGCGCCCCGCCCCUCGCUUCGCUCCAGGCCCCGUCACCUCACCUGGGUGGCCUUCCCCCACAGACUCGGAGGUGAAGAGGAACGUGCCCUCCUCGAUGAACGCGUCGUGGAAGCCGUUGAGCUGCCCGUUCAUGGUGGUGGCGAGAUCCCUGUUGGCCUUACGUAGGCCAGAAGACAACGGAGCCUGUUGAUGUGUAUACAGAUUUCUGUUUAACUGCUAGAAACUUGACCAAGCUAUGUGAUCCUUAUAAAACCUUAGAGGACUUGGGAGCCAGUAAGAAGAUGAAGUCUAACAGAUGUGGUUUUGGAUUAGCUGCUGACCUAAUAGCUGAAACAUCUGGAAGGAUGGUCCCUGUCAGUAGCAAAUUGUCCCUGAGUGAUGGAGAUUCAGCCAUUGCAUCUAUGUGGUUGCCUCCAAAGCCGCCAGCCCCACCUGACCUUUCUGGUGACUCUAGAUCCACACAUCCACCUGCCUGAGGGAAAGUUCCACGUUGCUGUCAGACCAAUGCUGGCCCCAAAGUUCAACGCUCCAAACUGACCUCAUCGUUAUUCCAGGCUUGAAACCUAGGAUCUAUUUUCCACUCCUGCCUCUCCCUUGGCACAGUUAGUCCCCACAGCGGAGUCACCGGCUGCUGCUAAUGGCUUUCACACUCAUCACAUUGUAAACGGCUGUGAGACGGCAGUGGAUAGGUGACCUGUCACACAGACCAGGCAGAAUGGGUCCCCACCUGGAAUAGGCUGGCAUCGGUAUAGAAGUCCGUUACAAACAUCAAAAGUGGUGUGAAGUGCUUCCCUGGUGGCACAGUGGUUAAGAACCCGCCUGCCAAUGCAGGGGACACGGGUUCGAUCCCUGGUCUGGGAAGAUCCCACGUGCCGCGGAGCAACUAAGCCCAUGCACCACAACUACUGAGCCUGCGCUCUAGAGCCCAUGAGCCACAACUGCUGAAGCCCACGCACCUAGAACCCGCACUCCACAACAAGAGAAGCCACCGCAAUGAGAAGCCCACACACCACAAUGAAGAGUAGCUGCCGCUCGCCGCAACUAGAGAAAGCCCGCGAGCAGCAACAAAGACCCAAUGCAACCAAAAAUAAAUAAUAAAUAAAUAAAA